UUUCAUUGGGGUAGUUUCUUUUGCUGUGUCUUCAAAUUUACUUUUUUUAAAAUGAUUGUCUACUUUGCUGUUAAUCCCAUCCUGUAUUUUUUAAAUCUAAACCAUCGUGAUUUUUAUCUCUAGAAGUUCAAUUUGGGUCUGUUCAUAUCUUCCAUGCCUCUACUUCACAUGUUCUGUCUUUCCUCUAGCUUCUUGAGCACAUGGAAUACAGUUAUACUAACAGUUUUUAUGUUGUCGUCUACUAAUUCUGUUAUCUGUGUCAGUUCUGGAUCAGCUUCAACUGAUUGAUUUUUUCCCCCUCAUUAUGUUUGUGUUUUCCUGCUUCUUUGCAUGACUGGUAAUUUUUGAUUGAAUGCCAAACAUUACGGCUUUUACCUUGGUUGCUGGAUAUUAUUGUAUUCCUAUAAAGAUUCUUGAGCUUUUUUCAGGAACACAGUUAAGUAUUUGAAAUAAUUUUGAUCCUUCUGAGCCUUGCUUUUAAGCUUUAUUAGGUGGGACCACAGCAGCAUUGGAUCUAAGGUUAAUUUUCACACUACUGGACUCAUCCAGAAGAUCCAGGAUAACCUGGCUAUUUUAAGGUCUGGCAUUCUCCCUUUAGGCCACCUACUGGCAGGGCCCAACAGGGAGCAGCUGGAAAAGCAGAAAUGGGUUUUGCAAAGAACCAGCCUCAGCAUCACAGAAUAGGGUAAAAAGGGGUCUGUGAUUUCUUGUCACAGCAUCUUGAUCAGGAUUCUCCAAGAAGCUCUUGUUCAUGAAGAGCAGUUACUGUGGGCCAGGCCCCGUCCGCUGCUGACGACUGAGUCCUGACAAGAGCCCUGGAGGAAGCACGAUCAUCAUCCCACUUUACAGAUGAGGAAAGCAUGUCACAGAGAAGUUGGACGCUUGCCCACAUCACAUCAUAAGUGACAGAGACAGCGAGAGGAGUUGAGGAGGGCUGAGGCCAGGCAGGGGCCUCCAUGCCCAGAAAUGCCAGAGG
rnacentral:lncRNA from 1 species